GAGACUGUCAUCUAGAGAUAGGACGUCCCCUUCGGGGGCAGAGUGACAGGUGGUGCAUGGUUGUCGUCAGCUCGAGGCGUGAGAUGUUGGGUUAAGUCCCGCAACGAGCGCAACCCUUGAUCUUAGUUGCCAGCAUUCAGUUGGGCACUCUAAGGUGACUGCCGGUGACAAACCGGAGGAAGGUGGGGAUGACGUCAAAUCAUCAUGCCCCUUAUGACCUGGGCUACACACGUGCUACAAUGGACAGAACAAAGGGCAGCGAAACCGCGAGGUUAAGCCAAUCCCACAAAUCUGUUCUCAGUUCGGAUCGCAGUCUGCAACUCGACUGCGUGAAGCUGGAAUCGCUAGUAAUCGCGGAUCAGCAUGCCGCGGUGAAUACGUUCCCGGGUCUUGUACACACCGA
rnacentral:rRNA from 1 species